CGGGCGGGUCGGCGCCCGCCGGAGGAUAACCAAACUCUGAUUUAACGACGUUUCUUCUGAGUGGUACAAGCAAAUAAUCAAAACUUUUAACAACGGAUCUCUUGGUUCUGGCAUCGAUGAAGAACGCAGCGAAAUGCGAUAAGUAAUGUGAAUUGCAGAAUUCAGUGAAUCAUCGAAUCUUUGAACGCACAUUGCGCCCGCCAGCAUUCUGGCGGGCAUGCCUGUUCGAGCGUCAUUUCAACCCUCAAGCUCUGCUUGGUGUUGGGGCCCUACAGCUGAUGUAGGCCCUCAAAGGUAGUGGCGGACCCUCCCGGAGCCUCCUUUGCGUAGUAACUUUACGUCUCGCACUGGGAUCCGGAGGGACUCUUGCCGUGAAACCCCCCAAUUUUCCAAAGGUUGACCUCGGAUCAGGUAGGAAUACCCGCUGAACUUAAGCAUAUCAAUAA
rnacentral:rRNA from 1 species